UGCCAGCCGCCGCGGUAAUACGGAGGGGGUUAGCGUUGUUCGGAAUUACUGGGCGUAAGGCGCACGUAGGCGGACCGAAAAGUUAGGGGUGAAAUCCCAGGGCUCAACCCUGGAACUGCCUCUAAAACUGCCGGUCUAGAGUUCGAGAGAGGUGAGUGGAAUUCCGAGUGUAGAGGUGAAAUUCGUAGAUAUUCGGAGGAACACCAGUGGCGAAGGCGGCUCACUGGCUCGAUACUGACGCUGAGGUGCGAAAGCGUGGGGAGCAAACAGGAUUAGAUA
rnacentral:rRNA from 1 species